UUGAAGCCAACAAACAGAGGUUUGGAAAAGUAGAACUCUUGGCUAAUGGACAUGGUUGUUUUCUCCUUUGAAGAGAACAGUGUGACAGAUAAAAUUUUAGAAGGUGGGUUAUGGACCAUUACAGGCAGACGUUUUGUUUUGAAAAAAUGGACCGCGAAUCUGAGCUUGGAACAACAUUACCUCACUAGAAUCCCCUUUUGGGUUAAGCUAUACGGAGAUUCCUUUGGAGUUAUGGACUGUUAAAGGCUUGAGCUAUGUAGCAAGUGCUUUGGGAAAGCCCUUGUAUAUGGAUAAAGUUACAGAGGAUAUUUCCAGAAUUGGCUUCGCUAGAGUUUGUAUCGAAUUUGACUCGGCAGUAGGAUUUCUAGAUGAUUUUGAUCUCAUCAUGCCUAAUAGGGAAACUUUGGUGGUGAAGGUGGAAUACAAAUGGAAGUCAAAAUUUUGCAAUUAUUGUAGUAAAUUUGGGCACCUAAACAGCUUCUGUUUAAGCAAUCCAGAUCGAAAAAAUGUGGAAAAUGAAAACGGUGAUCCCAUCAAAGAAAAAAACACUAACCCAACGAUGGAUUCUCAAGCUUGCAUGAGAGUUGUGAAAGGGAAAGGGUUAGCCAAAAAAGGGCAAAGCAGCAAUUCAAAUGGCCAUGAAAGGUCCUAUGAUGACGUGAAAAGAGGGGAAAACGAGAAAGUGAAAGCUUGAGGCUCAAUUCAGAAGGAUGUUGGAAAAAAUAAUCUGGAGGUUUUAGAAACAAAAGGAAAGGAAGAUAAUGGUUCAAAGGCUGAAGGAGCUUUAAAGAUUUAGAGCAAAACCAGGUGCUAUGGUAGGAAAAUAUAUCUCAGGAACACAUUUUUCCUGGUCUUGUGCCGCCGAAAACCAGGAAGGGAAAGAGCAGAAUCUCUUAUAAGGGUACAACUUUGAUUUCCAUCUCGGAAAUUAUUACAGAGAAGCACCCUCCUGUUGAGGCUACUGGAACCUGUGAUAAUGAAACUGCCAAGCUAGAAAAAGAUGUUGAGGAUGCCCCUUCCCUGUCCAAUCCUCAGCUUUGCAAACCUGUUAGUGUUGAUGAAAAGGUGCCAAUGGAAAGCAAGAAAAGUAAGAAGAAGAAGAAGAAAGUGAAGGCUUCGGCUGGAUUGGGUGGGGUUGAGGAGAGUAAAAGAAGAGUCCCCUUCAAAAUUUUCAACAUGUGGGUGGAGCUUGAAGACUUCAUUACUUUAGUGAAAAAAGUUUGGAAUUCUAAAAUUACGGGAUCGUCGAUGUUCUGUGUGGUUUCCAAGCUCAAAAUCCUAAGAGUGGAAUUAAAGAAGCUUAAUAAAAAAGAAUUUUGGAAUAUUUCUGAAAGGGUGAAGAAGGCUAGAGAGGAGCUUUUGGUGGCCCAAAGAUCUCUUGGAAAUGACCCAUUCAAUGGUGAGUUGAAGUCUUUGGGCAUGUCUUGCUUGAAAAGUACAUCAAGUUGAGUAAAGUGGAGGAGUCCUUGGCUAUGCAAAAGUCUAGAAUUUGGUGGCUAAAAGAACGUGACAACAAUACUUGUUUCUUUUUCAAAUGCAUCAAUGGUAGAAGAAACAUCAACAAAAUUUCUAAGCUUUCUAGAAUGGAUGGAAGAGAGGUGGAUGACCAAAAAAGUAUUAAAGAGGACCUUGUCAAUUAUUUUAAUAAUCUUUUCAAUGAUGAGGGGUGGCAUGGUGGUUUAGAUGGCAUUGGUGAGGUGAUUGGCAACAAAUUUCCAUUGGAGUUGGCUAACAUGUUAAAGGAAGAUGUCUCAAAGGAUAAGAUUGAGAAAACUUUCUUUAGCCUUCCUAAUAAAAAGGCCUCGGGUCCAGACGGUUUUGGAGCCUUGUUUUUUAAGAAAGCUUGGAGUAUCGUUGGGGAUGAAGUGGUGGAGGGUAUAAAAGAUUUUUUCUUGUUGGGAGAGCUCCUCAAAGAAAUAAAUUGCACUUCUAUUGCUUUUGUUCCAAAAUGCCCUAAUCCCUUAACUUGCAAUCAUUUUAGACCCAUCUUCUACUGCAAUACUAUUUACAAGUGCAUUACAAAAAUUAUGGGUAAUAGAAUCAAGAAAGUAUUGCCUCUCAUUAUUAGUCAAAAUCAAGCGGCUUUCGUUGGUGGAAGGAAAAUUGGUGAUAAUAUUUUAUUGUGCCAAGACCUUCUCAAUAAUUAUCAUAAGUCUAUGGGAAAGGUUGAAAAUUGCACUCUUAAGAUUGAUAUUAAAAAGGCCUAUGAUUCAGUGAGAUGAGAUUUUCUUUUGGCUUCUCUCAAAGCUAUUGGUUUUCCUAGCUUGAUGAUUCAUUGGGUUGCCAAAUGUAUUUCUUCGCCUCGGUUUUCUAUUAAUGUAAAUGAGAAGCUUGUUAUGUUUUUUGGGAGCUCUAGGGACCUUAGACAAGGGGACCCUAUAUCUCCUUAUUUGUUUGUUAUUGCUAUGCAGGUGUUAUUCGGCCUCUUGAAUAAAGCUUCUUUGGACUCUUCUUUCAAUUUCCAUUAGAAGUGCAAGGCUUUGAAAUUAUCUCACUUUUACUUUGCAAAUGACCUCAUGCUUUUUUGCAAAGUAGAUGAGAAGUCUAUUAAUUGUCACCUUAAUGCCCUUGAUGUUUUUGGUAACUGGUUAGGCUUGCAAGCUAGUAAUCUCAAGAGUAAUUUUUAUUGCUCUGGAAAGAGGGAUAAUAAUGUCAAGAACUAUUUGAGGGAAAAAGGCUUUGUUGAGGGAACCCUUCCUUUCAAGUACCUUGGAAUUCCUCUUGGAUUUUCUAGAAUCAAUGACAAGGAUUGUCAGCCUCUAAUCAAUAAAAUUUGUGGGAGAAUUAAUUUGUGGAGAAAUAAAUUUAUCUCUUUCCCGGGCCACCUUACUCUUAUAAAGUCCAUUUUAUUUAGUAUUUAAGUCUAUUGGUCCACUAUGUUUAUGCUUCUAUCUAAAGUUCACCUGGAAAUGGAGAGUAAGCUUAGAGUCUUUUUUUGGUCAGGGACGGACUCUUACUCUUCUAAGGCCAAGGUGGCUUGGGAGGAUAUUUGUGUGCCCAAAGAAGAAGGGGGCUUGGGGAUGGUUCAUACUAAGGAAUGGAACCAAGCGGCAAUGACUAGGCACAUAUGGAAUAUAGUGAAUAAAAACUUCAAGUCCAUUUGGGUAAAAUGGGUUUAUGCCAACCACAUUAAGGAGAAUUCCUUUUGGGAGAUCAAAGCUUCUCAAAGUGGCUCUUGUACUUGGAGAGAUAUCCUUAAGCUAAGAAAUUUGGUGAGAAAGCAUAUUUUUUAUGAAGUGGAUAAUGGCAAAGAUAUCUCCUUUUAAUUUGAUAAUUGGCAUCCGUUUGGGCCACUUAUUGAUAAGUAUGGAGAAAGUAUCCUCUCCAAUUCUGGUAUCAAAAAAUUUUAUAAAGUUAGUCAAAUCAUUGGAAAUGGUGGUUGGUUUUGGCCUUGUGCUUCCUCUAGGGAACUUAGGGAGAUUCGAAACACGCUCCCAAUUACUCCUAAGGGAGGGGAUGACUUGGUGAAGUGGGGUUCUAACAGUGUAGGCAAGUUUAGUAUAAACAAGGCGUGAAGCAUCUUGAGAAGUUGUAAGCCUAGAGUGAUUGGCCUAAUCUUCUUUGGUUCAAAUGUCAUAUUCCCAAGCAUUUGAUUAUCCUUUGGUUAGCCAUUAGAAAUAAGCUCCAAACUAAAGAUAAGUUGAUGAGGUUGGGCAUUUUUGACAACAAUAUAUGUUGCUUUUGUAAAUCUCAAGAGUCGAUUGACCAUCUUUUCUUGGUUGUGCAAAGGCUUUAGAAAUUUGGAGAAGUAUUCUUUGGUUAAGUAAUCUUGGGUAUGUUGUUGAGCCAUGGUCAGUUUUUAUUGGGAAAGCUGGAGGCUAUUGGACUUUGCAUAGCUUGAAGCAUUGUUUGGGUAAGCUGAGCUUGGCUGCCACUGUCUAUGCUAUUUGGAUUGAAAGGAUUCACUGGUGUUUUCAAAUGAAGAGAAGGAAACUAUUGUUAUUGUUAAGUUUAUCUCUAAUCUUGUCAGAGAGAGGGCUGGCAGCCUAUCCAGGUUCAAAAAGUUGUCAGGGGAUGACCUUGUAAAGUGUAAAUGGAAGUUGCCUAGCUAUAUAUUUGAUAGCCCUUGAAGCUGCUGCUGGUGCCUGGUUUUCAGGCACCCUGUUUUCUUUAACUCUGUGUUUUUUUUACAGGUUUUUUUGGUGCUCUCUGGUGUCAUUUUUGGUCUUGGAAUUUUCCUCUCUGGACUGGCUGUUGGUUGAUGCUCAUGGUCCUCCUUUGCCCCUUGGCUCAGAUAUCUCUUCUCCUGGUGGCUUUCCUUUCCCAAGCUUCCUGGAAUCUGAUCCUAGGUUUCUGCUGCUGCUCUUUUUUCCUGUCUUGCUGUUAUCUGCAUUUGUUUGUGCUGGUUGUGUCUUCUUAUCGCCUGGUGAGGCCUGGUGUGGUGCCUUUGUCUGCUCUUGGCGCUGCUGCUGCUGCCCCUGGAUUUUCUCCUCUCUUCCUGCAGUCUGCUUUGGAAGGCUACCUUGGUGUUGGUGUCGCCUGGAGAACCUUGCUUUGCCUUUCCUGUUUGUGCAACUGUGUAGCCUUUUGGGUGAAUUCUUGCCUUUGUCUUUGCUGCCCAGUAAUAGCAGCUUUGGUCACCUUUUCCUAGCAUUUUAGUUUUUUAACCUAUAGCAAUUUUUAGUCAGUUGUAGGCCUUGUUCUGCAUUUUUUUAGCCAGAAGCAGUUCUUGUUUUGCCUUGUAUUUACUAUUUUUUGUACUGUUAGGUGGGAAUUUUUGUUUAACAUAGACACAUUAGUUAAGCCUGCACUUAUACUUGUAAUGUUAAUGAUAUAAAAAUUUUGUUUGUUUCUUUUUUUGGCUCGUAUUGUAAUAAAAACUUUGAUAGGUGUUUAAAAAGAGA